GAGCGCAGGCGGAAGAAUAAGUCUGAUGUGAAAGCCCUCGGCUUAACCGAGGAACUGCAUCGGAAACUGUUUUUCUUGAGUGCAGAAGAGGAGAGUGGAACUCCAUGUGUAGCGGUGGAAUGCGUAGAUAUAUGGAAGAACACCAGUGGCGAAGGCGGCUCUCUGGUCUGCAACUGACGCUGAGGCUCGAAAGCAUGGGUAGCGAACAGGAUUAGAUACCCUGGUAGUCCAUGCCGUAAACGAUGAGUGCUAAGUGUUGGGAGGUUUCCGCCUCUCAGUGCUGCAGCUAACGCAUUAAGCACUCCGCCUGGGGAGUACGACCGCAAGGUUGAAACUCAAAGGAAUUGACGGGGGCCCGCACAAGCGGUGGAGCAUGUGGUUUAAUUCGAAGCAACGCGAAGAACCUUACCAGGUCUUGACAUCUAGUGCAAUCCGUAGAGAUACGGAGUUCCCUUCGGGGACACUAAGACAGGUGGUGCAUGGCUGUCGU
rnacentral:rRNA from 1 species